UUUUAAAGCCCUUACUCCGAUACGUGAUGGAAAAAUGUGACAGGCACACGUGGAAAAGUAAGACAUGAUCAUAGUUAAAAGAGAAGACAGUCUAACCAGAAAGCUUUGUUGCCUGUCAGCCCAUGUUGAAGUUCUGAGUGUGACGUGCCACAGGGCUGAAAAGAAUGGUAACUGGUAUUCCUCUCCUCCCUCUUCAUCCUCUCCUUCAACAGAAUCCACACCAACCUCCUCAUAAUCCUUCUUGAGGGCCUCAGAAAACUCUCCUUCCUCCAUGCCCUCACCCCUAUACCAGUGAACAAAGGCACGCUGUGCCUACACCAGGCCAAACUCAUGGUCCAGGUGAGCCCAGGCCUCCUGUUGCUCAGCGUACGCACAGCUUGCUGUACUGUGGC
rnacentral:lncRNA from 1 species